AGUGCGGUUUCGCCUUUAUGGUGGUGGAGUCCGCCCAGGCUGUGGGACUAUCAGUCCUCCCUGUGCGGCCAGUUCGGAGAGGCUGCACGCUCUCUCGGCUCACUGCAACCUCUGCAACCUCUGCCUCCAGGGUCAAGCAGUUCUCCUGCCUCAGCCUUCCGAGUACCUGGGAUUACAGAUUCAUAAGCUGGCCUGAGGUGAUCUUGGCAUCAAGGAAGGGAUGCACAUCAUCACACCAUCAGCUUCAGAGCAUGGCAGCCAUUUAUUUGUCCCGUGGGUUUUUUUCCAGGGAACCAAUCUGCCCUUUUGAAGAAAAGACAAAGGUAGAAAGGAUGGUGGAGGACUCCCUGGCAAAUGGUUAUCAGGUAUCUGCAGUGUGCUGAGGAGUGUGCUGCAUAGACACCAAUGGGACAGGAAGAGCUCCUAGCCUGGUUGUGCUGAGAUCAAGCGUAAGCAGUGUGCAGUGGCUUAUGCCUAUAAUUCCAGCUACUCAG
rnacentral:sRNA from 1 species